rnacentral:misc_RNA from 1 species
UUUCCGUAGGUGAACCUGCGGAGGGAUCAUUACAGAGUUCAUGCCCUACCGGGUAGAUCUCCCACCCUAUGUUAUUAUUACUUUGUUGCUUUGGCGGGCCGUUAGGCUCCGGCCCGACUACCGGCCCCGGCUGGUAAGCGCCCGCCAGAGGACCCAAAACCCUGAAUAUUAGUGUCGUCUGAGUACUAUAUAAUAGUUAAAACUUUCAACAACGGAUCUCUUGGUUCUGGCAUCGAUGAAGAACACAGC